UGUUAGGUCAUGGCCUAAAGCAGUGAUUGAGCACCUGGUGAAGAGGCGUAGCCAGCUCUGGGAGCACAGGUGGAAGCAAUUCUAUCCCUCCCUAACCUCAUUUAAGGGCUGGCAGCCACAAGGGAAGCAUUAUGCUUGGGAUUGCCUCCUUUGGAACGUUUUGUGACCUCUCAUCCUCAGAAAGGGGGAGAAGAUGACUGAGCAAAUCAUGAAGAGGUCUGGUGCCUCAGGUUGCUGUGGCUGCAAUUGUGGCUGUCUUGCUGUAUCCUGUAACUGCUUCCUCUGAGCCCUGUCUGUGAGAAGAAUCCAAAAUGAGCAACUUGAGUUUAAAAAUCUGUGGAUGUCUUUGGUUCUGGU